rnacentral:tRNA from 1 species
CGGGGUGUAGCGCAGCUUAGUAGCGCGCUACGUUCGGGACGUAAAGGUCGUGGACGGUCCGCCGCAGCGGUUCGAAUCCCACCACCCCGA